UACGAGGGGUGCAAGCGUUAUCCGGAAUCACUGGGUUUAAAGGGUGCGUAGGCGGUUAAGUAAGUCAGAGGUGAAAGAUUAUCGCUCAACGAUAAAAUUGCCUUUGAUACUGCUUAACUUGAAUCAGAAUGAGGUUAGCGGAAUGUGACAUGUAGCGGUGAAAUGCAUAGAUAUGUCAUGGAACACCGAUUGCGAAGGCAGCUGACUGGCACUUGAUUGACGCUGAGGCACGAAAGCGUGGGGAGCGAAC
rnacentral:rRNA from 1 species